rnacentral:rRNA from 1 species
UACAGAGGUCCCUAGCGUCGUUCGGAUUUACUGGGCGUAAAGGGCGCGUAGGCGGCCAGGCGUGUCGGAUGUGAAAUCCCCGGGCUCAACCCGGAAAGUGCGUCCGAAACUGCCCGGCUCGAGUGCGGGAGGGGGAGUCGGAAUGCAGGGUGUAGCGGUGAAAUGCGUUGAUAUCCUGCAGAACACCGGAGGCGAAGGCGAACUCCUGGAACGCAACUGACGCUGAGGCGCGAAAGUCGGGGGAGCAAAC